UACGAAGGGGGCUAGCGUUGUUCGGAAUUACUGGGCGUAAAGCGCACGUAGGCGGAUAUUUAAGUCAGGGGUGAAAGCCCGGGGCUCAACUCCGGAACUGCCUUUAAGACUGCAUCGCUAGAAUUGUGGAGAGGUAAGUGGAAUUCCGAGUGUAGAGGUGAAAUGCGCAGAUAUCAGGAGGAACACCUAUUGCGAAGGCAGCUCGCUGGGACGUUACUGACGCUGAGACGCGAAAGCGUGGGGAGCAAACAGG
rnacentral:rRNA from 1 species